AGGCAACUCAGCCCUCAAGGAGGUCGGAGUUGAGAUGCCGCUCCCUGUGACCCUCCAGAAGAGGCUUGGCUCCCGGGCUGCAGUCGGGAGCUUCCAGAAGGACACUAGAAACUCAGCGCCCACCUUAUCCACCUCGUCAUUGCUGCCUUCCACGACUUCGUAGGCGUCGAUCCGGCUCACCACCCCCGCCAGCCGCAGGCGCUCCUGGCGCUGCCGCAUGCACGUGUUCACGUGGUGGAUGAAGCGUUCCACAGAGCUGAUCUGAAGACAAGCCAUGAUGGAGUUUAGGGCCAGGAUCCGGGAGAGACAGAGCCUGGGAGGGCAGUAUGCUCACAAUUCAGGUUACCAUGGUGAUCACUGCUUCCUUGGCGCGGGGCUCGUCAGUCUUCCUCAGCACUGACUUGAGCAGCAGCGGGUAUUUGGUGAGCCGCUGAUGGGGCUUGGCCAGCAUGUCACUCAGCUUCAGCCGCUGGCACUGCUGGUGCUUCUCAGCCCACUGUGGGGUGGGGGCGGGGCUCUGGUUAACCUCGCCCCUCGAGCCCCGCCCACCUCUCGGGCCCCGCCCACCCCUCGGGCCCCAGGUCCCGCCCCUGAGCUCUGGGCCCUCACCGUGACGUAGGUGCGGAAUAGGUCGUUGUCACGCAGCAGGCCACGCAUGUACUCCAUGCAGCCCUCCUCCUCCAUGCAGUACCGGAUGUAUGGCUUGAAGAGUGAGCCGAACUGGCCCGGAGCAGAACCACACACAGCACCUGUUACCUCAGGACUCCAGGGGCCUCAGGGACUUCCCACACCAACCCAGCGGGAGAGCAUUUCCAGGUCCUGAAGCAGCCAGAGGGUGUUUGGACCCUCCACGUUCGGAAGCGCCAACCCACCCAUGGUCGAACUGGGGGAGAGCUGGGGAGAAUGGUUUCUCAGCAUACCUGGAAUGCUCUGGGUCACCUCUGCCCUGGUUCAAGCCCCCUCCAGGAAGGCCAAGGCAGGCGCUCCCCUCCCCAGCUGAAUCCCCUAAGUGCCUGCCCACUGUGUCCCAGCCAGGGUGUCCUCCUGAGAACCUGAGUACAGCUUGUGUUGAGAAGCAGCCUGAAUCAGCUGGGCCCUUACCUAGGCUAAGUCAGCCUCACCCGGCCAGCACGCCUGACACCCCUCCCAGGCACCCGCAGGACUCCGUGCCCCAGAGGCAGCCUGCAGCCUGCCUUCCACUACUGUCAGGCAGAGGCCCAGCUUAGCUGAGGGCACACUCAGUUGGCCUCUGCAGGUGGGAAAGAAGCAGGGACCCGGGUCCACACUCACGUUGGUGAUCACACGCAGCCUCCGGAUGUAGGAGACCUCUGUGUGCAGGAGUUCCCACACUGCCUCCUGUUGGUGGCACUGCCGCCGGGACAGCUUCUACAGGGAGAGGCAGGACAGGAACACAGAGAUCUGGAGGGGAGGCCACCCUCCCCAUUAUGUGGAUUGUGACUGUCAAGAUCUCCAAGGUACGGGCUGGAGAGAUGGCUCAGCAGUGGCUGCUGUUCCAGAGGUCCUGAGUUCAAUUCCCAGCAACCACAGGG